rnacentral:rRNA from 1 species
UGCGAACUCCUACGGGAGGCAGCAGUGAGGAAUCUUCCACAAUGGGCGAAAGCCUGAUGGAGCAACGCCGCGUGCAGGAUGAAGGCCUUCGGGUUGUAAACUGCUUUUAUAAGUGAGGAAUAUGACGGUAGCUUAUGAAUAAGGAUCGGCUAACUACGUGCCAGCAGCCGCGGUCAUACGUAGGAUCCGAGCGUUAUCCGGAGUGACUGGGCGUAAAGAGUUGCGUAGGCGGUUUGUUAAGUGAAUAGUGAAAUCUGGUGGCUCAACCAUACAGGCUAUUAUUCAAACUGGCAAACUCGAGAGUGGUAGAGGUCACUGGAAUUUCUUGUGUAGGAGUGAAAUCCGUAGAUAUAAGAAGGAACACCGAUGGCGUAGGCAGGUGACUGGACCAUUUCUGACGCUAAGGCACGAAAGCGUGGGGAGCGAACCGGAUUAGAUACCCUUGUAGUCCU